UCAUUGCCCGUACGUGGCACGGCGCAAAGCCCGCCUUUUCCGCUUCGUAGCUUGGAGGGCAACGCAGAGGGAGCGUAAUUUUGUGGGCGCAACUGCAAAACACUGAACUAGCCUCUAAGGGAAAUAUGACUAAAACAAAAUAAAGUUGAAGCCGCCCAGUUGCCAAGGAUCUCGUAAUCCAGCUAUGGAGCAGACGCUUCUGAACGUCAGGACGGGGUGCCGUUGGCAGCAUAGAGGCUGACUCAAAUGGAAACAAUGACUAUUCUUGGGUCUCGAACCUUCCAGCAUUCAGACUGGACUACACCACUGGUUCUCCCGGGUCUCAGGCCUUUGGUCUCAGACUGGAAGUGCAACAUCGGCUCUCCUGGGUCUCCAGCUUGCCGACUGCAGAUCUUGGAACUUCUCAGCCUCCACAGUCACAGGCUUGCAGAAUAACAUAAGCUUGGAAGGCAACCAGAAGAAACAUCAGAUGGGCACGACAUGAGGGACCAUCUGGAAUGACCUCUAUUGACUGUGGAUAUGUGCAGACAUCAAACAUUUAUGGAGCACCUACUGUGUGCCAGACAUUGAGCACAGCAAAUUGCCACUAUGGUAACUGCAGUGAGAUCAGCCCUGGACAGAGUAUAGCUGUGCCAUAGAGAGAUGGUCUCACUUCUUAGCAUAGAAUUCCAGAUCCCCUUUCAUUAUUUUCCCUAGGGAGAUUUUAAGUGAGUCUUUAUGAUUGAUCCCACAUUUUCUCAAAUGAAAGUCACUGAGGUUAAGGUUGAGGUUGUCCAGGGCUAGGAGUAUGGAAAUAUCUGGGGUCCUUGCUUUGGGCAGGUGGGUCAGGACUGCUUACAGCAACUCCACCAUCAGGCCAGCUGCCAAGGCCAUCUUUUCUGUGAAAAACGUCUUUCUCAAUGACAGCUUUACUGUAACUUACCAUAGUAUCAAGAAGUAAUUUUGCAAACAGGAGAUUUUUCUAAAUAAAGGCCGAUAGGAAGGCAUCCCCCAGUGACUGAGCCAAGACUCUUAAUAUAUUUCAACAGUUUUCCCACUAAGAACUCAUCAUCCUUCUCAACAAUGUUUGCCUUGGAUUUCUCCACUGACAUAAUGUUUGCCUUGAAUUUCUCCACUGACACUUGGAAACCAAUGGCCGUGAUUUCCAGGGAUGUGUCAUCUAGCCCAAAGUAAGUCCCAUAGAGGGUUAAGUCUCUUUCAGUGUCUCCACAUUAUUUUCACUGGUCAAGCUCACAAAAGGGAUGGUGGCCAAUGCUUCAGUGUUCAGGGCCUCCAGCCAGAUCUUCUGCUUCAGAGAAUCCCUCUUUUUGUCAGUGGGAGCUUCAGUAAUACGGGGUAGGCAUUGCAUGAAGAUGUGCUGCAUGUUGGCUGGGAGCUCCCAUGGUAGAGUGGUCUCCAGAUUUGGGAAAUUAUAGUCAGACAUAUGAAUAAUGAAGACUAAGAAGGCCUGAGGGUCCCUCACACCGGCCUCCAGAAGU